UACAAAACUUAUGAGGAACAUGAUAUUAAAUUUGCACGCAAGUGCUAAAUAAACCCACCCUAAACUCACCGAACGUUAUUGUUCAACGAUUAGCGAUGGCUAGCAUAGUCACCUUGUCUUUAUCAUGCCCUUAGUUGAAUUCAAAUUCCUUUCAACACCACGAUUUGAAAUCGCAUGUCUUCCAUUUAUAGUCUGUCAUGUACAAUAUUUACGAAAUUCAGUAUGAAGCAUGUCACGUGUUGCAUCAGUAACGUUAGAUGGCUAGAAAGUUCCAGACAAACGCACACACACACAGCCCAGAGAGGCUGGAUUAAAAUAUGGAUGCAGGAUCAAGACAUUUGUGAAAAUAAUCCUGUGUUAAAACAUGUCUGGAAAUAAGUUUAACAGUGUAAAUUCAGCGUAAGGUUACAUAAUAUCUUCGUUGCGGCACAUCUGUGUUUGUAGUCCAAACCAUUUGGAGUCAUGUACUAAUUUAUGACAGUGGGAUCUGAGAUCCAUCUGAGUGACGCUAUCUGUUGACGAUAACUUCGUGGCUACUUUGGUUGCAUUGCAUUGAGAAUGGCUUGACAUCUGUUGCGUCAACAAUCUGGGUGCAGCUACUGUCCUAUAACACAUGUAGGCCUACAUUAAGAAGGGAAUAUGGACACUUGUUACGCAUUAUUCGUGAUGAACAGACCACUAACAAAUACUAGCUUUCUUUACUGAGCCUGGAAUGUGCACAAAAAUAUCUGGUUGGAAUUAUAAAGAAGUUUGAAUGUGGUAUGUAUGUUUGUCUGAUUCCUACCCCAUGAACAUGUAUUUCUUUUAUUUGGUACAGUAUUGUUAUGGUUCCAUUUUAUAUCUGGCCGUUUACAACCAUAGCUAUCAUUGUUUAAUUUAUGAUUUAAUUCUGCUAUUAGGCUCAAUCGUUUGAAAUUGCCAGUUAAAAUCGUAGGACUAAUUUUUUAAACAUGCAUUAUGUUGCUGUUAUUUUUAUUAUGAGUACUUGAUUCUGUUUGCAAUUUUAUACUCCGUACAGAACUGGCUAUAACUGUCGGUCGUGCCGUAAGUGGGCAAACCUGAGACAAACUAGGAGACGGACUUGGAAACUAGGCUGCAGGCAUGAAGAGUGCAGGCUCAUAAGUGUCUUAAGUGGAUCUCUGCUAUAGAGACGUUUGGUGUUUUUAUGGGUCAAAAUCAUGGUAAGUUUUCCGUUUAUACUAUUACAUUUAUACAUUGUUGUUCUAAAAACCCUAAUGCAACAACAUAAGGAACUAUAUCUAUACCUGAUUCGUGUGAUGUUGAAUCAAUGUGUCUAAAGAUGAAAUUACAAACUCUGUAAUGAACAGCAUAAUAACGUUUUACUUGAGUAAAUGCUGUUGUGAACGCUGAAUGUUUUUUUGCCCCAUGAGACGCGACUGUGGCACUGAUUCCACGGUUGAGCCAUAAGCGGGCGAACAGAAACUGGCUUGAGUCGGGCCUGCAUGCCCUGUGUAGUGGGCUGUUGGCAUGGUAAUCAGCCAGAUAAAUACUAAAAUGCUACCUCCCACCACCCACACACCACCCCGGGACUGGUGAGCAGGAGGGUUUUGUGGUGCUAUACCUUACAAUAGUGUAUAUACACCAUGUAUAGUGUAGUGCUGUAUUGAAAUUCAGAUAGUUUUGAAUAGAGCAUUACAAAGUUAAAGUCAAACAUGAACCACAAAGCAUGUAUUGGGUGAUGAAUAAGAUAGUACAUUGUACAAGAUAGUACAAAGUAGUGUUUGUAGUGAGUUAUUGUUUGUCUUCUCAUUUUCUGGUUUAUACAUCUGUCCAGAUGAAUUAUAAACACAAUGCAGAAUGCAAUGUGUUGUUUAGAGAUUGGUUCUUCCAUUGAAAACUAAUGUUGCUAAUAUAUUUUCAUUUGUCACAUGCAAAGGCCAUUUUUAGUCAGAAGUAUGAAGGGUCAGACACGUGAGUGACUAUUUGGAGCCCUGAAAUGGAGAAGCUACAUGAUAUGUGUCUCAUUUUACACACAUAGUACAUAGGCAUGAGGUAUUUGCACACACACGAGACACCCACUAGCUCCUUGAGGCAUUGCAAUGCGGCUUUUGCUGUUGUGCCUGUACUGCAAGAAAACACAGAACGCCUUUGGGAGUAAACUGCAGUUUGCAGUUGCACUCUGCAGUUGUUUGUUCACUAGUUACUUGCACACCUACAGCCUGCAACAUAGAACCACACAUCCCCUACCUACUGCUGAGCCAAAACAUACUGAACAAUAAUUAAGUGGUAAUACCCUGUGCUGUUUUCUUUAUGGCUGAUCAGGAGGUGAUAUGCUCUCAGCCCGUGUGUAGACCGAAGAAGGUCACCAUUCCUGUGGAGGGGCACCUUCCUCCAGCCUCCUGACGUUCAUCGGAAGAACGCUACAGUGGCAGGCUUGGGCCAAAAAGGUCCGGUCGGGUCCAUCAGGAGGUUCCGUAUCCAGCUUUACACAGCCUGAGGACUCCCACAUGAGGUGUUCCAGAUCCAGUUGCACAAAGAAGUAGUCAGUGGGACCAAGGUCAUUGAGAGGUGCUCUGGUUAAGCAAUCCAAGGGUUAUGUUGGCCACAGCUCACUGAGAAUGUCUCAACCAAGAGAGAUGUUGGCUGGCCUAUAUUUCUGUUCUGUUCAGUGUUGCCUGCAGUGCUGGAUGGUUUACUGAAUAAACACAGACAAAAUCUUUUGACAUUCAA